rnacentral:ncRNA from 1 species
AUCUUGAUACUGCAUAUGGAUCCAGAUAUUUUGCGGCUCUGCUCGUCGAGAGCAAGCGCGAGCCUGGCAUACCCAAUAUUUUACUUUUCGCCUUUUCUUAUGCCACUGUACUAGGUGAAAGGUGGCGCAAAGGGGUUGUCUUUUUUCCCCAUUGAUUUGCAUCCGGGUAAAUCUCAAGCUCUACACUUAGAAUAGUUACAGAAUAAUAAGUCAGGGGAUCUCAAGACGAUCAGAUACCGUAGUCUUAGCCAUAAACUAUCCCGACUAGGGAUCGGACUUCUAUAAUGACCCCGGCACCUUGCCAGAAACUACAGUUUUUGGAUUCUGGGGGAGUAUGGUCGCAAGGCUGAGACUUACAUGUAAAGAACAGAC